rnacentral:rRNA from 1 species
UACGGAGGAGGCAAGCGUUAUCCGGAAUUAUUGGGCGUAAAGCGUCCGUAGGUGGCUCUCUCAAGUCUGCGGUCAAAGACCGGGGCUCAACCCUGGAAAGGCCGUGGAAACUGGUGAGCUAGAGUGCGGUAGGGGCAGAGGGAAUUCCCAGUGUAGCGGUGAAAUGCGCAGAUAUCAGGAGGAACACCUAUUGCGAAGGCAGCUCGCUGGGACGUAACUGACGCUGAGACGCGAAAGCGUGGGGAGCGAACAGG